UAGUCGAUGGGAAACAGGUUAAUAUUCCUGUACUUGGUGUUACUGCGAAGGGGGGACGGAGAAGGCUAUGUUAGCCGGGCGACGGUUGUCCCGGUUUAAGCAUGUAGGCUGAUUAUCCAGGCAAAUCCGGAUAAUCAAGGCUGAGGUGUGAUGACGAGGCACUACGGUGCUGAAGUAACAAAUGCCCUGCUUCCAGGAAAAGCCUCUAAGCAUCAGGUAACAU
rnacentral:rRNA from 1 species